rnacentral:rRNA from 1 species
GAGUUUGAUCGUGGCUCAGGACGAACGCUGGCGGCGUGCCUAAUACAUGCAAGUCGAGCGAGCUGAACCAGCAGAUUCACUUCGGUGAUGACGCUGGGAACGCGAGCGGCGGAUGGGUGAGUAACACGUGGGUAACCUGCCCUAAAGUCUGGGAUACCACUUGGAAACAGGUGCUAAUACCGGAUAACAACAAUAGCUGCAUGGCUAUUGCUUAAAAGGCGGCGAAAGCUGUCGCUAAAGGAUGGACCCGCGGUGCAUUAGCUAGUUGGUAAGGUAAUGGCUUACCAAGGCGACGAUGCAUAGCCGAGUUGAGAGACUGAUCGGCCACAUUGGGACUGAGACACGGCCCAAACUCCUACGGGAGGCAGCA